rnacentral:rRNA from 1 species
CCUACGGGAGGCAGCAGUGAGGAAUAUUGGUCAAUGGGCGCUAGCCUGAACCAGCCAAGUAGCGUGAAGGAUGACUGCUCUAUGGGUUGUAAACUUCUUUUAUAUGGGAAUAAAGUCCAGUAUGUAUACUGCUUUGCAUGUACCUUAUGAAUAAGGAUCGGCUAACUCCGUGCCAGCAGCCGCGGUAAUACGGAGGAUCCGAGCGUUAUCCGGAUUUAUUGGGUUUAAAGGGAGCGUAGGCGGGUUGUUAAGUCAGUUGUGAAAGUUUGCGGCUCAACCGUAAAAUUGCAGUUGAUACUGGCAGCCUUGAGUUCAGUAGAGGUAGGCGGAAUGCGUGGUGUAGCGGUGAAAUGCUUAGAUAUCACGCAGAACUCCGAUUGCGAAGGCAGCCUGCUGAACUGUAACUGACGCUGAUGCACGAAAGUGUGGGUAUCAAACAGGAUUAGAUACCCCAGUAGUC